GAUGAACGCUGGCGGCGUGCCUAAUACAUGCAAGUCGAGCGAACAGACGAGGAGCUUGCUCCUCUGACGUUAGCGGCGGACGGGUGAGUAACACGUGGAUAACCUACCUAUAAGACUGGGAUAACUUCGGGAAACCGGAGCUAAUACCGGAUAAUAUAUUGAACCGCAUGGUUCAAUAGUGAAAGACGGUUUUGCUGUCACUUAUAGAUGGAUCCGCGCCGCAUUAGCUAGUUGGUAAGGUAACGGCUUACCAAGGCAACGAUGCGUAGCCGACCUGAGAGGGAGAGAGGCCAGCCGAGAGGUGUGAGACGGAAGAGACGACUAGGGGAAGCAGGAGGGGGGAGUCGGUAGUGAGGGGCUAAGGAGCGACAGAGAAUAGAAGUGGGAGAGAAGAAGUUAGUAGGUUCGUAGGACUGUGUGAGGAGGAAAGAAAAAGAGGGCAAGUAACUACGCAGAGCGUGGAGGUGCAUAAAUAGAAGGCGAGGGCUAAACACGGG
rnacentral:rRNA from 1 species